UCCUAUUUUUAUGAUAAGGUUAAGAAAUCGCUUGUUUAUUUUCUAGACUUCCCUGUAACGAGAGUGCCAUCGAUGGUCUUGCAGCCCUAGUAUAUGUAAGUAUCGAUGAUGGCAUCAAUCUUUUUGCACCUCUAGCGACCGCGACACGUGUUGGAUCACAAAAUGAAUUUUCAAAAAGAAAUUUUUAAUUUUAAACAUAGUCUACGACCUUCGUGAACUAAGGAAAAGAUGUAUUAACGAUUGACCAAUUUACUGCAGCCUGCAGCUCGAUUCCAUUUAGGAACCCUCACUUUUCCAUGGACAGAACAAUGAUGUCGGAACUCAGCUUUAGGGAAGUGUGAUUCACAAUGGACACAUCCAAAGACUGCAUGGGCUAAGCCUACUUUGUAAGUAUUUCCUUGGUUACAAAAUAUUUUCUGCACCUUUCUGAUGAUAACUUGAGAUAGGGACAUCUGAUGCCCAUGACUGAUUUAUCUUGAUAGUAGAACUGAUUGCAGCAUUCUUUUUCUUCGCAUAACGCCAGUCAUGAGCACUUCUGAUCAA